rnacentral:rRNA from 1 species
UACAGAGGUCCCAAGCGUUGUUCGGAUUCAUUGGGCGUAAAGGGUGCGUAGGCGGCGCGGUAAGUCGGGUGUGAAAUCUCGGGGCUUAACUCCGAAACUGCAUUCGAUACUGCCGUGCUUGAGGACUGGAGAGGAGACUGGAAUUACGGUGUAGCGGUGAAAUGCGUAGAUAUCGUAAGGAAGACCAGUGGCGAAGGCGGGUCUCUGGACAGUUCCUGACGCUGAGGCACGAAGGCCAGGGGAGCAAACGGG